rnacentral:rRNA from 1 species
UACGGGGGGGGCAAGCGUUGUUCGGAAUUACUGGGCGUAAAGGGCUCGUAGGCGGCCAACUAAGUCAGACGUGAAAUCCCUCGGCUUAACCGGGGAACUGCAUCUGAUACUGGAUGGCUUGAGUUCGGGAGAGGGAUGUGGAAUUCCAGGUGUAGCGGUGAAAUGCGUAGAUAUCUGGAGGAACACCGGUGGCGAAGGCGGCAUCCUGGCCCGGUACUGACGCUGAGGUGCGAAAGCGUGGGGAGCAAACAGG